CGGCGUGCUUAACACAUGCAAGUCGAGCGAAGCAGUUAAGUUGAUUUCUUCGGAUUGAUUCUUAACUGACUGAGCGGCGGACGGGUGAGUAACGCGUGGGUGACCUGCCCCAUACCGGGGGAUAACAGCUGGAAACGGCUGCUAAUACCGCAUAAGCGCACAGAGCUGCAUGGCUCGGUGUGAAAAACUCCGGUGGUAUGGGAUGGGCCCGCGUCUGAUUAGGCAGUUGGCGGGGUAACGGCCCACCAAACCGACGAUCAGUAGCCGGCCUGAGAGGGCGACCGGCCACAUUGGGACUGAGACACGGCCCAAACUCCUACGGGAGGCAGCAGUGGGGAAUAUUGCACAAUGGGGGAAACCCUGAUGCAGCGACGCCGCGUGAGCGAAGAAGUAUUUCGGUAUGUAAAGCUCUAUCAGCAGGGAAGAUAAUGACGGUACCUGACUAAGAAGCCCCGGCUAACUACGUGCCAGCAGCCGCGGUAAUACGUAGGGGGCAAGCGUUAUCCGGAUUUACUGGGUGUAAAGGGAGCGUAGACGGCAAGGCAAGUCUGAUGUGAAAACCCAGGGCUUAACCCUGGGACUGCAUUGGAAACUGUCUGGCUCGAGUGCCGGAGAGGUAAGCGGAAUUCCUAGUGUAGCGGUGAAAUGCGUAGAUAUUAGGAAGAACACCAGUGGCGAAGGCGGCUUACUGGACGGUAACUGACGUUGAGGCUCGAAAGCGUGGGGAGCAAACAGGAUUAGAUACCCUGGUAGUCCACGCCGUAA
rnacentral:rRNA from 1 species